rnacentral:rRNA from 1 species
UACGUAGGUGGCAAGCGUUGUCCGGAAUCAUUGGGCGUAAAGCGCGCGUAGGUGGCUUCGUAAGUCCGUUGUGAAAGUCAAAGGCUCAACCUUUGAAUGCCGAUGGAUACUGCGAAGCUAGAGUACGGAAGAGGCGAGUGGAAUUCCUGGUGUAGCGGUGGAAUGCGCAGAUAUCAGGAGGAACACCAAUAGCGAAGGCAGCUCGCUGGGACGGUACUGACGCUGAGGCGCGAAAGCGUGGGGAGCGAACAGG